GACGGAGGGUGCUAGCGUUGUUCGGAAUUACUGGGCGUAAAGGGCGCGUAGGCGGCCUGGUCAGUCGGGUGUGAAAUCUCGGAGCUUAACUCCGAAACUGCAUUCGAUACUGCCGUGCUUGAGGACUGGAGAGGAGACUGGAAUUUACGGUGUAGCGGUGAAAUGCGUAGAUAUCGUAAGGAAGACCAGUGGCGAAGGCGGGUCUCUGGACAGUUCCUGACGCUGAGGCACGAAGGUCAGGGGAGCAAACGGG
rnacentral:rRNA from 1 species